AUUGAACGCUGGCGGCAUGCCUUACACAUGCAAGUCGAACGGUAACAGGCCUUCGGAUGCUGACGAGUGGCGAACGGGUGAGUAAUGCAUCGGAACGUGCCCAGUAGUGGGGGAUAGCCCGGCGAAAGCCGGAUUAAUACCGCAUACGACCUGAGGGUGAAAGGGGGGGAUCGCAAGACCUCUCGCUAUUGGAGCGGCCGAUGUCAGAUUAGCUAGUUGGUGGGGUAAAGGCCUACCAAGGCAACGAUCUGUAGUUGGUCUGAGAGGACGACCAGCCACACUGGGACUGAGACACGGCCCAGACUCCUACGGGAGGCAGCAGUGGGGAAUUUUGGACAAUGGGCGCAAGCCUGAUCCAGCAAUGCCGCGUGCAGGAAGAAGGCCUUCGGGUUGUAAACUGCUUUUGUCAGGGAAGAAAUCCUCUGGGUUAAUACCUCGGGGGGAUGACGGUACCCGAAGAAUAAGCACCGGCUAACUACGUGCCAGCCGCCGCAGUAACAC
rnacentral:rRNA from 1 species